rnacentral:lncRNA from 1 species
UUAACCCCUUCGAGCUUAAACAGUUGAAUCUCGGCUUGAAAUAAAGCGAGAUGUCAAAAAUCUUUUUUCUUGAAACCCGGAAAAUUUUGAUAAUUGUUCUUUUGCCGUAAAAGUCAAGAGCAUUCACUUAGGGUGAGUAAAAGAAAUAAGUUGGGGAGAACGAAAAUGAGAAUCGGUAAGUGCCACAACUCUUGAAAAACCGAGCAAGCAUUGAAAAAAAAAAUAUAAAAUAUAGAAAAGAGAAACAUCUGUUUUGUAAAUAUGAUGUGAAAGAA